CGUGGAGACAGGUGGUGCAUGGCUGUCGUCAGCUCGUGUCGUGAGAUGUUGGGUUAAGUCCCGCAACGAGCGCAACCCUCACCCCUAGUUGCCACCGGGUAAAGCCGAGCACUCGAGGGGAACUGCCAGCGUCAAGCUGGAGGAAGGCGGGGAUGACGUCAAGUCAUCAUGCCCCUUACGCCCUGGGCUACACACGUGCUACAAUGGCCGGUACAAAGGGACGCGAGACUGCAAGGUGGAGCUAAUCCCAAAAAACCGGUCUAAGUUCAGAUUGCAGUCUGCAACUCGACUGCAUGAAGGAGGAAUCGCUAGUAAUCGCGCAUCAGCACGGCGCGGUGAAUACGUUCCCGGGCCUUGUACACACCGCCCGUCACACCACGAAAGCUGUCUGUACUCGAAGUCGCUGAG
rnacentral:rRNA from 1 species